rnacentral:lncRNA from 1 species
GCUUCCCAGGGCCGGGACUCGGGCACGCUCUUGAGGUCUCUGCGGGUUUUCUUCCCACGGUGUUUUCCCGGGCCUCCGCGAAGCGUGAUUUCUCAGGCUUCCCUCCCUUUGCUGCCCCCUCCCUCCCCCAAGUGAAAGCGUCUCACCCGCCCGGCGAUUUUUUAGAAGGGGAAACCAAGGGCAGAAACCGCCCGCCAGGGCGACACUCGAGCUCCCGGGUGGAUUUGAAUGACGGCUCCCUCCUGGAAUGCCUUCAGCACCUCGUGUUUUCCUUGUGUGCCCUGUAAACGUUGCCAAACGCACAACGGCUCCCUCUCGGUCCCGGAGCUCGGAUGUUCGUCGUUCAGAUUUCCUCUAAUCUCCUUCAGGUUUAACAGCCAGGCACCCCCGCUGGCUUUUCCUGACUGCAGUGUGGGUCAGACUUCCCCGGGCUGCGACCAUCACAGAUGAUGGGCUGGGAGCCAGACACCGCCGCGCGCUGCAAAGAGCGGCAGGAUUUCUGCAACGGGAGCCGGCAACCGCGUUCCCUUUACUUCCACUAAACAAGUGGCCCGGUGCCACAUUAAACUUUCCAGCUUUAAUCAUUUAAAAAUAUAUAGCCAUGUUUUAUUUAUAGAGCUCCUACUGUUUCUCCGCAUAUUUUAACAUUUCAAGAGCAAAUAAGGAAGCAAUGACAAGUGAAAGCCUCCGAGUUAUUCCAAGAGGAGUUAAGUAGCAAUGCCACUGUGCAAUCAGACACCCUGACUUGAAUUCCGGCUCCCCUCGUACUGUUUGACGACCCUGGCCGCAUUUCUUUGCCCCUCCCUUGCGGUUUCCUCACCUCUGUAAUGAGACUGAUAGUUGCUCGCUACUUCUUAGGAUUGUUUGGAAUUAAAGAAAAUGCUCAAAGAAAACCCUAAAAAGAAAAAAAAAAAAGUUGGCCUCCUAUCUUAAUACCUUUAUAUGAUAUGAAUUUCAAUCUCCAUCAAACUUUAAACUAUCAUUUGCCAGAAAGGGGUAAAACUGGCCUACCUUGGACCUCUCCCUUGAUGAUGACCCAUGCAAGUGGAGUUUUCAGAGUGAAAUGAUGUGCUCAAAGACAGGAAAUAUAAAAAAAGGAAGUAGU